UCCCAGACUCCUACGGGAGGCAGCAGUGGGGAAUAUUGCACAAUGGGGGGAACCCUGAUGCAGCGACGCCGCGUGGGUGAAGGAGUAUUUCGGUAUGUAAAGCCCUAUCAGCAGGGAAGAACAAUGACGGUACCUGACUAAGAAGCACCGGCUAAAUACGUGCCAGCAGCCGCGGUAAUACGUAUGGUGCAAGCGUUAUCCGGAUUUACUGGGUGUAAAGGGAGCGUAGACGGCGACGCAAGUCUGGAGUGAAAGCCCGGGGCCCAACCCCGGGACUGCUCUGGAAACUGCGGCGCUGGAGUACGGGAGGGGCAGGCGGAAUUCCUGGUGUAGCGGUGAAAUGCGUAGAUAUCAGGAGGAACACCGGCGGCGAAGGCGGCCUGCUGGACCGUGACUGACGUUGAGGCUCGAGAGCGUGGGGAGCAAACAGGAUUAGAUACCCGAGUAA
rnacentral:rRNA from 1 species